CCAUAAUUAAAUAUUGACCGUUAGUCACAUGUCAUGUUCUGAUUGGUCAAUAAAAACAACAAUUUUUUCUAUCUUUGAUGAAGUUGACAUCCAAUCAGAACAUGACAUGUGACAAUCAUCAUCC
rfam:Glycine max cultivar Williams 82 chromosome 2, whole genome shotgun sequence.